rnacentral:misc_RNA from 1 species
GAUGAAGAACGCAGCGAAAUGCGAUAAGUAAUGUGAAUUGCAGAAUUCAGUGAAUCAUCGAAUCUUUGAACGCACAUUGCGCCCGCCAGUAUUCUGGCGGGCAUGCCUGUUCGAGCGUCAUUUCAACCAUCAAGCCCCCGGCUUGUGUUGGGGACCUGCGGCUGCCGCAGGCCCUGAAAACCAGUGGCGGGCUCGCUGGUCACUCCGAGCGUAGUAAUACAUCUCGCUCAGGGCGUGCUGCGGGUUCCGGCCGUUAAAAAGCCUUAUUUACCCAAGGUUGACCUCGGAUCAGGUAGGAAGACCCGCUGAACUUAAGCAUAUCAAUAAGCGGAGGA